AUAGUAAAAAGGGGCAGACCUUCUAGUACGAAAGGAUCAAUAGGCUGUGUUUCUCUAGUGUACCAAUUGUUGAAAAAAUUUUUGUUUAAUAAACAAUAUAUUAAAAUGCAUAGUUGGGUAGCCACAAACAUGAUAGAUAAGCGCUGAAUGAAUAUUAAGCAGGAAGCUAUCCCCUAGAUACUAUCAUUAGUUCUCUUAAAUGUUUCUGACUCUCUGGUCUCCAGUAGAGCUAAGAUAAUCUGGGAUAAACUAAUUUUUUUAAGAAAUAGAACAUUUCUAAAUAGGAUGCAAAUGAAAUUACUGUGAAGUAUUUAGUUUAGCAUUACUAAUUUAUUAA
rnacentral:ncRNA from 1 species